rnacentral:rRNA from 1 species
GGUUUUUUGAUUAUAAUAAAAAAUCUAAUCUGCUCAAUGAUUUAAAAUUAAAUAGCUGCAGUAUUUUAACUGUACUAAGGUAGCAUAAUCAUUUGUCUUUUUAUUAAAGUCUGGAAUGAAUGAUUUAAUGAAAAAAUUUCUGUCUCAAAUUAAUAUAUAAAAUUUUAUUUUAAGUUAAAAUUCUUAAAAUUUAUUUAAAGACGAGAAGACCCUAUAGAAUUUUAUAAAAUUUUUUAUUUUAUUUUUAUUUAUUAUUUUAAAUUAAUAAAAAUUUUAUUUUAUUGGGGUAAUAAAAAAAUUUAAUUAAAUUUUUUAAUAAAUUUUCAUAAAUUUAUGUUAAAAUUUUCAUAUCCAAAUAUUUUUGAAUUUAAAAUUAAUUACCUUAGGGAUAACAGCGUAAUUUUUUUAGAAAGUUCAUAUUGAUAAAAAAGUUUGCGACCUCGAUGUUGAAUUAAGAUAAAAUUUUAAUGUAGAAAUUAAAAAUUUUAAGUCU